CCUACGGGAGGCAGCAGUGGGGAAUAUUGCGCAAUGGGCGAAAGCCUGACGCAGCGACGCCGCGUGAGGGAUGAAGGUCUUCGGAUCGUAAACCUCUGUCAGCAGGGAAGAACGGUCACUGUGCUAAUCAGCAGUGAAUUGACGGUACCUGCAAAGGAAGCACCGGCUAACUCCGUGCCAGCAGCCGCGGUAAUACGGAGGGUGCGAGCGUUAAUCGGAGUUACUGGGCGAAAGGCGCUCGUAGGCGGUAGGUCAAGUCUGGGGUGAAAGGUACCGGCUCAACCGGUACAGGCUCUGGAAACUGGCGGGCUAGAGAGCAGGAGAGGGCGGUGGAAUUCCAGGUGUAGCGGUGAAAUGCGUAGAUAUAUGGAAGAACUCCGGUGGCGAAGGCAGCCGCCUGGCCUGUUACUGACGCUGAGGCACGAAAGCGUGGGGAGCAAAUAGGAUUAGAUACCCUGGUAGUC
rnacentral:rRNA from 1 species